AUGACAGAGAUGAAUGUUUCCCGGAAGAAGGAGAAGGACGACCGUGCUAAAGAGUCUCCUUCCAUAACGCUUCGGCCCAAACCUGAGUCUGUUUUGGCUGGCUGUCAACCAUGCCCGGCCAAGAGUCCGUUCCCCACCCCAAAUGAAAAAUUAGUUCGACACGACAUAUCUAACACUCUACCACAUAUGUUAUGGAGUGACUAA